UUACUUACAUAUAAAAUUUGAUUUAAUUCGAAAUAUAAAAUCGGUUCAUUUCAAUAAACGUGUAGUUGGCCGAAAAAUUAAAAACAAAAGAAAAAAAAAAGAAAAUAAGCGGGAAAGAUGAACAAAUUUUCUCAUCCGAACGGCUUAUUCGUCGGUGCGGCUGGACCCCUCCGGAUUUGUUCCACAACUCACAGGGACCGAUCGAAGUCGAAACAAUAUUCGAAGCUGGUUCAGGAAGGAAAUGGGACGAAGUAAGAGCGAAGUAAGGCUUUCCAUUAUCCCCCAAAGCAACAGCUAUUAGCGGUAAUAUAGAUUGACCAUGAUGUGUAAAAAGGGAAACGAUGACUUUCCCAAUGAUAAAAAGCAUUUUGCAUCAAAUAAAUGAGGCAUAAAACAA